GCGCUGAAACACCGUAUCUCGUACAAUCACCGAAAUUAAGCAUCGUUAAUCCAGGUCAGUACUUAGAUGGGUGACAGCUUGUGAAUACCAGAUGAUGUA